UCCCUUGUAGCUCAGUCAGUAAAGAAUCUGCCUGCAAUGCAGAAGACCCAGGUUCGAUUCCCGGAUCGGGAG
rnacentral:tRNA from 1 species